UGGGCAAACUGGCUGAUGGAGGGGGAUAACUACUGGAAACGGUAGCUAAUACCGCAUAACGUCCCAAGACCAAAGAGGGGGACCUUCGGGCCUCUUGCCAUCGGAUGUGCCCAGAUGGGAUUAGCUAGUAGGUGGGGUAACGGCUCACCUAGGCGACGAUCCCUAGCUGGUCUGAGAGGAUGACCAGCCACACUGGGAACUGAGACACGGUCCAGACUCCUACGGGAGGCAGCAGUGGGGAAUAUUGCACAAUGGGCGCAAGCCUGAUGCAGCCAUGCCGCGUGUAUGAAGAAGGCCUUCGGGUUGUAAAGUACUUUCAGCGGGGAAGGAAGGCGACAGGGGUUAAUAACCCUGUCGAUUGACGUUACCCGCAAAAGAAGCACCGGCUAACUCCGUGCCAGCAGCCGCGGUAAUACGGAGGGUGCA
rnacentral:rRNA from 1 species